UACAGAGGGUGCAAGCGUUAAUCGGAAUUACUGGGCGUAGAGCGCGCGUAGGCGGCCAAGUAAGCCGGUUGUGAAAGCCCCGGGCUCAACCUGGGAAUGGCAUCCGGAACUGUUUGGCUAGAGUGCAGAAGAGGAAGGUAGAAUUCCCGGUGUAGCGGUGAAAUGCGUAGAUAUGUGGAGGAACACCAGUGGCGAAGGCGGCCUUCUGGACUGACACUGACGCUGAGGCGCGAAAGCGUGGGUAGCAAACAGG
rnacentral:misc_RNA from 1 species